rnacentral:misc_RNA from 1 species
CCUCCUUAAAAAAUAAUCGCUUAGGAUAGGCGUUCACAUGAAUUACUUGCUUUUACCUAAAUCAUAUCUUUAGGGAUAUGAGAUGACGGAGAGUUCUUUAACAUUUUUAUAAGUUCAAUCAAGUCACAUCAUAGUGUCUUAAUUUUCUUAAUUUAGAUAUGAAUGAUGUGCAAAUGUCGCCAAACCCGUCAUGUUUUAGAACAUAAGUUUGGUGUACAUACUGCAAAGUAAUUUUGGCGAAUGACAAUAGAUACUUGAAGAACAUUAAUCAUUAAGUUGUUUGAUGUAAUAUGGUCAAGUAAAUAAGCGCAUACGGUGGAUGCCUUGGCAGCUAGAGGCGAUGAAGGACGUAGUAACUUGCGAUAAGCUUCGGGGAGCCGGUAACAGACUUUGAUCCGGAGAUUUCCGAAUGGGGA